rnacentral:rRNA from 1 species
GAUGAACGCUGGCGGCGUGCCUAAUACAUGCAAGUCGAGCGAACAGACGAGGAGCUUGCUCCUUUGACGUUAGCGGCGGACGGGUGAGUAACAUGUGGAUAACCUACCUAUAAGACUGGGAUAAUUUCGGGAAACCGGAGCUAAUACCGGAUAAUAUAUUGAACCGCAUGGUUCAAUAGUGAAAGUCGGUUUUGCUGUCACUUAUAGAUGGAUCCGCGCCGCAUUAGCUAGUUGGUAAGGUAACGGCCUACCAAGGCAACGAUGCGUAGCCGACCGGAGAGAGGGGUCGGCGGCACGGGAGGUUGAACGGGGACAAGGGUCCUGCGGGAGGCAGCAGUAUGGUAUCUGCCGCAGUGGGCGGAAACCUGACGGAGCAACGCGGCGUGAGUGGUGGAGGUCUUCGGAUCGUGAAACUGGGUUAUGAGGUAAGAACAAAUGUGGAAGGAACUGUACACGUCUUGACGGUACCUAAUCAGAAAGCCACGGCUAACUACGUG